rnacentral:rRNA from 1 species
UUAAGCGACUAAGCGUACACGGUGGAUGCCCUGGCAGUCAGAGGCGAUGAAGGACGUGCUAAUCUGCGAUAAGCGUCGGUAAGGUGAUAUGAACCGUUAUAACCGGCGAUUUCCGAAUGGGGAAACCCAGUGUGAUUCGUCACACUAUCAUUAACUGAAUCCAUAGGUUAAUGAGGCGAACCGGGGGAACUGAAACAUCUAAGUACCCCGAGGAAAAGAAAUCAACCGAGAUUCCCCCAGUAGCGGCGAGCGAACGGGGAGCAGCCCAGAGCCUGAAUCAGUGUGUGUGUUAGUGGAAGCGUCUGGAAAGGCGCGCGAUACAGGGUGACAGCCCCGUACACAAAAAUGCACAUAUUGUGAGCUCGAUGAGUAGGGCGGGACACGUGGUAUCCUGUCUGAAUAUGGGGGGACCAUCCUCCAAGGCUAAAUACUACCUGACGACCGAUAGUGAACCAGUACCGUGAGGGAAAGGCGAAAAGAACCCCGGCGAGGGGAGUGAAAAAGAACCUGAAACCGUGUACGUACAAGCAGUGGGAGCCUCUUUUAUGGGGUGACUGCGUACCUUUUGUAUAAUGGGUCAGCGACUUAUAUUCUGUAGCAAGGUUAACCGUAUAGGGGAGCCGAAGGGAAACCGAGUCUUAACUGGGCGUUAAGUUGCAGGGUAUAGACCCGAAACCCGGUGAUCUAGCCAUGGGCAGGUUGAAGGUUGGGUAACACUAACUGGAGGACCGAACCGACUAAUGUUGAAAAAUUAGCGGAUGACUUGUGGCUGGGGGUGAAAGGCCAAUCAAACCGGGAGAUAGCUGGUUCUCCCCGAAAGCUAUUUAGGUAGCGCCUCGUGAAUUCAUCUCCGGGGGUAGAGCACUGUUUCGGCAAGGGGGUCAUCCCGACUUACCAACCCGAUGCAAACUGCGAAUACCGGAGAAUGUUAUCACGGGAGACACACGGCGGGUGCUAACGUCCGUCGUGAAGAGGGAAACAACCCAGACCGCCAGCUAAGGUCCCAAAGUCAUGGUUAAGUGGGAAACGAUGUGGGAAGGCCCAGACAGCCAGGAUGUUGGCUUAGAAGCAGCCAUCAUUUAAAGAAAGCGUAAUAGCUCACUGGUCGAGUCGGCCUGCGCGGAAGAUGUAACGGGGCUAAACCAUGCACCGAAGCUGCGGCAGCGACGCUGAUGCGUUGUUGGGUAGGGGAGCGUUCUGUAAGCCUGUGAAGGUGUACUGUGAGGUAUGCUGGAGGUAUCAGAAGUGCGAAUGCUGACAUAAGUAACGAUAAAGCGGGUGAAAAGCCCGCUCGCCGGAAGACCAAGGGUUCCUGUCCAACGUUAAUCGGGGCAGGGUGAGUCGACCCCUAAGGCGAGGCCGAAAGGCGUAGUCGAUGGGAAACAGGUUAAUAUUCCUGUACUUGGUGUUACUGCGAAGGGGGGACGGAGAAGGCUAUGUUGGCCGGGCGACGGUUGUCCCGGUUUAAGCGUGUAGGCUGGUUUUCCAGGCAAAUCCGGAAAAUCAAGGCUGAGGCGUGAUGACGAGGCACUACGGUGCUGAAGCAACAAAUGCCCUGCUUCCAGGAAAAGCCUCUAAGCAUCAGGUAACAUCAAAUCGUACCCCAAACCGACACAGGUGGUCAGGUAGAGAAUACCAAGGCGCUUGAGAGAACUCGGGUGAAGGAACUAGGCAAAAUGGUGCCGUAACUUCGGGAGAAGGCACGCUGAUAUGUAGGUGAAGUCCCUCGCGGAUGGAGCUGAAAUCAGUCGAAGAUACCAGCUGGCUGCAACUGUUUAUUAAAAACACAGCACUGUGCAAACACGAAAGUGGACGUAUACGGUGUGACGCCUGCCCGGUGCCGGAAGGUUAAUUGAUGGGGUCAGCGCAAGCGAAGCUCUUGAUCGAAGCCCCGGUAAACGGCGGCCGUAACUAUAACGGUCCUAAGGUAGCGAAAUUCCUUGUCGGGU